GGGGAAGCAUGGCUCAGGUGGUUGAGUGGGUGUCUGGAAAUCAGAAGGUUCCUGGUUCAAUCCCUGGCUUCUCCA